GGCUGUCAGCAGCUACUAGCAAUGAUGGCUAUGCUCUGUUGAAGUAAGUGUAGUGAAAUCACAGCUAAGAAGCUUAAAUCAUAUAUAUGACUGACAGUCUUCUUUGGGAAUUAAGCCAAUGUCCAGCCUUCAGCAUUCAAAAACUUUACUUGCAGAAACUUGUAGUUAUAGAUGAAUUAAAACAUAAUAUAUACAGUCACAUGCUCAUCCAAGCAGGGGCUUACAGCUUUUUCUUCUAACUUCCAAACAACUGUAUUUUCCUCUCUUUCCAGAGCUAAGCACUCAACCUUCUGUAUCUCAAUUAGGCCAUGUUUUGCAGCUGCAAUGAGAGAUUUCCACCUUUACCUUCUCCUGCAGCUUUGCUCUCUUUCUUUUGAGCAGAGAAGAUGCGCUCCAGCACUCUAUUCAACUUACCAGUGUUCACAGUGGAUUCCGAAACACAGCCAUCUUGUUUCACAUAAAAUGGAGUCUCUCCUUAGAAGCACCCAGUGUGACCAAUGAUAGCCAAUCACAUGAGAACUACCAGACAACUCUCUAGAAUUCAGUUACCAACCAAUCAAAUUUAAGCACAUAAUAAUCCAUACAAGCAUUUACAAUUUCAGUGAAUUAAAUUAGUAUACUUAACAUGUUCUACCUCCACUGUCGAAGACAAUAUGCCUCUGAAUACCAGUUGCUGGGAAUCAAAAAUAGGGAGAAUGCUGCUGUAUUCAAGUCCUGCUUUCAGUCUUCCCAUAGACAUCGGGCUGAUCACAGUGAGAACAGUAGUCUGAACAAGAUGGGCUAUUGGCCUGAUCCAGUAGACUGCUAUCAUGGUUUUAUCUGGAAAGAUUUAGGGAUAUGUUAUAAUUAGAAGGAGAGGUGCAUGGCAAAAAGUACUCCUGCAAAACAUCUUUCCCUGUCUUGGCAACUGCUUUUGCUACUGACUAUAAAAAUUUAGCAUUGUCCUUUCAUGAAGCAAGGCAAAGGAAGAGCAAAAGAAAUGAAAGCAAAUGAUGGAAGGUAUCAGCAGACUUUUUCUUCUUCUUAAUGCCAUAAAUCUGACACUUGUUAAUUACCUAGUUGAAGAGUGUUUAACAAAUGGGUAGCCAACAUUCUUAAUGGGUGCUUGACAAAGGAUUCUGAAAUGCCAUUGCAGGCAGUACAAAAUCCCAUAAGAAUGAGUUUCCAGGAAUAGGUCUAAUAGCCGAGGAACAGUAACAGACACUUUCAAUUCAAUUAAUCAUCUAAACAAUGGGAAGGAGGAUGGGAUGGGGGAAGAGAAGAUAAAAUAGAAGUUAAUGUUUCAGCAGAAAACUGCCUGCUUAGAGCUACAACCCUGGAAGAGAGCCAUUGUGAAAUCUGCCAGCCAUUGAGGCGAGGGUUUUUUUUCCCCCUCAAGAAAAGCAGCCAAUUGGUGAAUCAUGUGACCUCAUACUUCUCAGCAAAUCUCAUUAACUAAAUUGACCCACAACAAUAACAGAAGAGAGAGAGGAGUAACUGGCAGACUCCAAAUUACAUCCAAACCCAAGCAGGCAAUGACAACAAAGAUAAAAACUUGGGCAACCCACUCAUUUGGGCUGAGCAUUUGUAAUCCUCGACAAUUAUGUAAACCUAAUGUCAGAUGAUGGGGCAGCUAUUCUUUACAGGGAGCUACAAAUGCAUUAAAAGAAUUCAAAAAAUGGAUUGCUAAGAAAUGCCAUUCUUCAUGUGAGGUUAUCCAACGAAGCUGAACAAUGGAAGUUCCAGGACAGACAAAAUGAAUAACUUCUUUUUUGAAGUGCAUAGCUGAACAAUGGCAUUUGCUCCCUCCCACAAGACGUGAUGACUACUGAGUUGGAUGCCUUCAAAAGAGGAUUAGGAAAAAAUCAUGGUGGAGAAGGCUGUUGAUGAUGGCUUCUAGCUACAAUGGCUCUAUUCUACUUCUACUGUCAGCAGCAAUAUGCCUCUGGAUAGCAAUUGCUGGGAAUUAUGUGGGGAGAAAGCUCUUGCACUCAGAUCCUGCUUCGAGGCUUCCCCUAGGCAUGUGUUUGACCACUGAGAGUAUAGGGUGCUGGAUUAUCAUUCUUAGUAUUACAAUUGAUUACCCGACUUUCACCCUAAGAUCCCAAGGUAUGUUGCAACAAUUAACUAGGUGGACCUUUGGUCCGAUCCAAACAUUAUAUUGUAUGUUCUCCAGAUGGUUCUUUUAAAGCCAAAUUUUACUUGUGAAGUGUAAAGUGUUGGGGAGAGCUUGUUGAAGUCUCAUGAGCUUCCCACCUUAAGCUCAUGUCUUUGUUAGAAUUCCUGCUCCGUGAUUGCAGUCAUGGGAUUGUUGUUUUUCACAUGACAGUAUAUGUUCUGACUCCACAGAGUGGGAAGUGACAGAGACAGGAUGUUUUUGUUACUGUUUUCCGUGAAGUAGGACUAUUGUCCUUUGUUUUUCUCUCUCUUUGCUGUCUGAUGCUAGAGAGAGAGGGAGCCAUGUUGCAGUGCUCUGUGUGUGUUUAUAUGUAAAUAAAGUAGAUUAGCCAAAAUGCUGAGCUGCUGAGGUCUGCUAUGCGAGCUGCAAGGACUCUGCGGAUCCCUAAGUGUGCCGAUGUCUGUUGGCAUCAGUCACUGUGAAGUUUGGGCUGAAGAAAUGUUUUGAAGCUCCUGAACGAUCGACCAGGAGGGAGAAAACAUGCCAGUUGGGCAUGUGUCUCUGCCAGGGUCCUACUCAAGUGUAGGAUGAGCUCCUGACAGUUUUAUCCUCCAUCACAACAUGUGUCUCAGGUGCAUCAUGCUAGUGUUUGCAAUAAGAAUAAAUGCAGCCAUUGACUUAGAUGGGAGGAAUGUAAAGGAAUGCAUUCAGGGACAUUCUUUGGGCACAGGGAUAAUUCUCUUCCUUGGCUCUUUUGACCUCAGUUGUUAAUAAUCCAGCCUGCUCCUGAUUCUGCAGAGUCUCAUCUUUACAUAAUCUACUUUAGCUUAUUAAAUUCAUUGACCACAACCAGCAGAAAUCCGGGAAUGCUUUAUAGAACAAGAAGUG
rnacentral:lncRNA from 1 species